rnacentral:rRNA from 1 species
GAACGCUGGCGGCAGGCCUAACACAUGCAAGUCGAACGCCCCGCAAGGGGAGUGGCAGACGGGUGAGUAACACGUGGGAACCUUCCCUAUACUACGGAAUAGCCCAGGGAAACUUGGAGUAAUACCGUAUACGCCCGAGAGGGGAAAGAUUUAUCGGUAUAGGAUGGGCCCGCGUAGGAUUAGCUAGUUGGUGAGGUAAUGGCUCACCAAGGCGACGA